rnacentral:rRNA from 1 species
AGAGAGAGACAUGCGCGCAUAUCAAUAAGCGGAGGAAAAGAAACUAACAAGGAUUCCCCUAGUAACGGCGAGUGAAGCGGGAAGAGCUCAAAUUUGAAAUCUUCAAGGGUUUCCCUUGACGAAUUGUAGUUUAAAGAAGUGUUUUCUGUUAGAGAGGUGGUAAAAGUUCUUUGGAAUAGGACAUCAUAGAGGGUGAGAAUCCCGUAUUUGAUCACUUUCUACUAACGUUGUGAUACACUUUCAAAGAGUCGGAUUGUUUGGGAAUGCAGUCCAAAAUGGGUGGUAAAUUUCAUCUAAGGCUAAAUAUUGGCGAGAGACCGAUAGCGAACAAGUACCGUGAGGGAAAGAUGAAAAGAACUUUGAAAAGAGAGUUAAACAGUACGUGAAAUUGUCAAAAGGGAAGCGUUUGACACCAGUGUUGUUUUCUCGAAAAUCAAUUAAAAAUGGCGGGAUUUUGUGUUGUAUUGACUUUAUCAGCUUUCUGCACUUUUUUUCCUGUCUUUUUUAAUGCACUUUUCGUUUAACAAGUCAACAUCAAUUUCUUUUGUUGUAAAAGGGUCAUUGGAAGGUGGCUUUCUUUUCGGAGAAAGUGUUUAUAGCCUUUAGCCUCUGCAAUCGGAGAGAUUGAGGUCUGCAGCGUAGAUCCUUCGGGGUUAGAUACAUUUGUGCUAAGCUAUAGCCUUUCAUAGACAACUUGUUGACUAUGAUCAGUCAUGUAGCUUACUCGCUUAUGCUAUUUUACCUACGCUUAGGAUGUUGACAGCAGUAUAGACUGU